rnacentral:rRNA from 1 species
CCUACGGGAGGCAGCAGUGGGGAAUAUUGCACAAUGGGGGAAACCCUGAUGCAGCGACGCCGCGUGAGUGAAGAAGUAUUUCGGUAUGUAAAGCUCUAUCAGCAGGGAAGAAAAUGACGGUACCUGAUUAAGAAGCCCCGGCUAACUACGGGCCAGCAGCCGCGGUAAUACGUAGGGGGCCACGUUUAUCCGGAUUUCCUGGGUGUAAAGGGGGCGUAGACGGCAGCACAAGUCUGGAGUGAAAUGCCGGGGCUUAACCCCGGAACUGCUUUGGAAACUGUGCAGCUAGAGUGCAGGAGAGGUAAGUGGAAUGCCUAGUGUAGCGGUGAAAUGCGUAGAUAUUAGGAGGAACACCAGUGGCGAAGGCGGCUUACUGGACUGUAACUGACGUUGAGGCUCGAAAGCGUGGGGAGCAAACAGGAUUAGAUACCCCGGUAGUC